rnacentral:rRNA from 1 species
GUGGGGAAUAUUGCGCAAUGGGCGAAAGCCUGACGCAGCAACGCCGCGUGGGGGAUGAAGGUUCUCGGAUUGUAAACCCCUUUCGACCGGAACGAAUCCCCUCCUGGUGAACAGUCAGGAGGGUCGACGGUACCGGGAGAAGAAGCCACGGCUAACUCUGUGCCAGCAGCCGCGGUAAGACAGAGGUGGCUAGCGUUGUUCGGAUUUAUUGGGCGUAAAGCGCACGCAGGCGGUUUGGUAAGUCAGAGGUGAAAUUCCGCAGCUUAACUGCGGAACUGCCUUUGAUACUGCCUUUCUCGAGUGCAUGAGGGGGAAGCGGAAUUCCGAGUGUAGAGGUGAAAUUCGUAGAUAUUCGGAGGAACACCGGUGGCGAAGGCGGCUUCCUGGCAUGUAACUGACGCUCAGGUGCGAAAGCGUGGGUAGCAAACAGGAUUAGAUACCCGAGUAGUCC